rnacentral:misc_RNA from 1 species
AAGUCGUAACAAGGUUUCCGUAGGUGAACCUGCGGAAGGAUCAUUACUGGGUCACAGGGCGCUCGCGCCCACCCCCCACCCUAUGCGUCCUGCAAAACACAUGUUCGGCGUGCGAAGGGCCCCGCGAGGGGCCCCCUGCCGGAAUCCAACCCUGAACAACGUUGCGGCCUGAAUUGAAAAGCAAAUAGUUAAAACUUUCAACAACGGAUCUCUUGGUUCUG